rnacentral:rRNA from 1 species
CCCGCAACGAGCGCAACCCUUUUCCUUAUUUGCCAGCACUUCGGGUGGGAACUUUAAGGAUACUGCCAGUGACAAACUGGAGGAAGGCGGGGACGACGUCAAGUCAUCAUGGCCCUUACGGCCAGGGCUACACACGUGCUACAAUGGUCGGUACAAAGGGUUGCUACACAGCGAUGUGAUGCUAAUCUCAAAAAGCCGAUCGUAGUCCGGAUUGGAGUCUGCAACUCGACUCCAUGAAGUCGGAAUCGCUAGUAAUCGCGGAUCAGAAUGCCGCGGUGAAUACGUU